AGCGAACGCUGGCGGCAGGCUUAACACAUGCCAGUCGAGCGGGCAUCCUUGUGGUGUCAGCGGCAGUCGGGUGAGUAACGCGUGGGAACGUGCCCUUCGGUUCGGAAUAACUCAGGGAAACUUGAGCUAAUACCGGAUACGUGCGAGAGCAGAAAGGUUUAUCUGCCGAAGGAUCGGCCCGCGUCUGAUUAGCUAGUUGGUGAGGUUAUGGCUCACCAAGGCGACGAUCAGUAGCUGGUCUGAGAGGAUGAUCAGCCACACUGGGACUGAGACACGGCCCAGACUCCUACGGGAGGCAGCAGUGGGGAAUAUUGGACAAUGGGGGCAACCCUGAUCCAGCCAUGCCGCGUGAGUGAUGACGGCCUUAGGGUUGUAAAGCUCUUUUCUCCGGGACGAUAAUGACGGUACCGGAGGAAUAAGCCCCGGCUAACUUCGUG
rnacentral:rRNA from 1 species